UGCAACUCGCCUACACGAAGUCGGAAUCGCUAGUAAUCGCGGAUCAGCAUGCCGCGGUGAAUACGUUCCCGGGCCUUGUACACACCGCCUGUCACACCAUGGGAGUUUGUAACGCCCAAAGUCGGUGGCCUAACCUUUAUGGAGGGAGCCGCCUAAGGCGGGACAGAUGACUGGGGUGAAGUCGUAACAAGGUAUC
rnacentral:rRNA from 1 species